GUUAGCGCUCUGUGUCUUGGGUGACCCAACGUGGGGCCAGGGACCCAUAUCCCUUUACUAGAAGACGCCCCCUGCUCCAGGCACAGCUCCAGCCCAGUCCCAACGUCAAGGCCAGCCCCGCUAUCCCAUUGCCUGGACAAAGAGACCUUGGCUGCAAUUAAGCAAAUGGGCAUUAAUUAAUCGCUAUGGGCAACAGGACACAGAAGGAGUGGAGCAGACUGGAUGGAUGGACUGCUGAGAGAGAAAAACACAAGCACACACACACACACACACACACACACACACACACACACACACACACACACACACACACACACACACACAAACAAAAUCGCAAAUGUAACCACUACACAAAUGCAAAGAUAGAUUUGAGCAAAACCUGCAUAAUGUACUUGCCUGAACGGAAG
ensembl:lncRNA